rnacentral:rRNA from 1 species
GGACGAACGCUGGCGGCGUGCUUAACACAUGCAAGUCGAACGAUGAAGCUUAGCUUGCUAGGUGGAUUAGUGGCGAACGGGUGAGUAACACGUAGGUAAUCUGCCCUGCACUUUGGGAUAAGCCUGGGAAACUGGGUCUAAUACCGAAUAGGACACACUAUCUUUACGGUGGUGUGUGGAAAGCUUUUGCGGUGUGGGAUGAGCCUGCGGCCUAUCAGCUUGUUGGUGGGGUAAUGGCCUACCAAGGCGUCGACGGGUAGCCGGCCUGAGAGGGUGUACGGCCACAUUGGGACUGAGACACGGCCCAGACUCCUACGGGAGGCAGCAGUGGGGAAUAUUGCACAAUGGGCGAAAGCCUGAUGCAGCGACGCCGCGUGGGGGAUGAAGGCCUUCGGGUUGUAAACUCCUUUCGCUAGGGACGAAGAGUUACAUUGACGGUACCUGGAGAAGAAGCACCGGCUAACUACGUGCCAGCAGCCGCGGUAAUACGUAGGGUGCGAGCGUUGUCCGGAAUUACUGGGCGUAAAGAGCUCGUAGGUGGUUUGUCGCGUCGUCUGUGAAAUCCCGGGGCUUAACUCCGGGCGUGCAGGCGAUACGGGCAUAACUUGAGUGCUGUAGGGGAGACUGGAAUUCCUGGUGUAGCGGUGAAAUGCGCAGAUAUCAGGAGGAACACCAAUGGCGAAGGCAGGUCU